UUUCCGUAGGUGAACCUGCGGAAGGAUCAUUAUCGAAUGAACAUGGAGUUGGUUGUUGCUGGCCUCUUUACUGGGGCAUGUGCACACCUUCUCUAUUCAUCCACACACACCUGUGAACUUGUGAGACGGAUAGUAGUCCUCUAGCGGACGAGGUCCGUCUGCUAAUACAUAAACUCUAUAAUAAUAAAAUUGAAUGUCAUUUGAUGUAACGCAUCUGUAAACUAAGUUUCAACAACGGAUCUCUUGGCUCUCGCAUCGAUGAAGAACGCAGC
rnacentral:misc_RNA from 1 species